UACGGAGGAUCCGAGCGUUAUCCGGAUUUAUUGGGUUUAAAGGGAGCGUAGGUGGAUUGUUAAGUCAGUUGUGAAAGUUUGCGGCUCAACCGUAAAAUUGCAGUUGAAACUGGCAGUCUUGAGUACAGUAGAGGUGGGCGGAAUUCGUGGUGUAGCGGUGAAAUGCUUAGAUAAUCACGCAGAACUCCGAUGCGAAGGCAGCAUACCGGCGCUCAACUGACGCUGAGGCACGAAAGCGUGGGGAUCGAACAGG
rnacentral:rRNA from 1 species